rnacentral:lncRNA from 1 species
AUCUCUUCCUCUCGUUGAUUUCUCUUUGCCCUUGUCGGUGAAAGGCGGGCGAUGGUGGCGCCAGCCCUUAUGGCGGUUCCCUACCUCAAAGUUUUACUUUCCCAAAAUAAACCCCUCUUAUUUUUUCAUGCUUGUUAUGAAUUUGAAACCCAUUUUAUCAAAAUAUCAAUCUAAAAGGAAAUCGUCCCUCUCAGAAAUCACAACACAAUUUAAAAAAAGAAAAAAACUAACAACAACAUUCAAAAGACAAGCUUAUGGAUUUCGACACGUAAAAGGGAGUGAAGACAAAACAAUAAAGAUUAACGAAGGAGUAAAGAAAUACCUAGAUUCAGGUAAGAAAUUUCCCCCCUCUAAAUCUUGUUUUCUGUUUGGAUCUUCCUUUCUCUGUAUUUGCUAGUUUAUGUUCGUGUUGUUAAAAAAUGUUGCUGCAAUGUUUAGAAUUUGAAUAUUGCUAUAGUUGCUUAAUAAAUUUUUGUAUUUGGGAUUAAAUCUGGGAGAUAAAUUUGAGCUUCUGACUGAUUGAGAAAAUAUUAUCUCAGAUUUAGUUAGAAAUUUCUUUGGGUUUGGUGGUUUGAAAAAAAAUGAUAUCAGUUUUUCUUCAAAUUCUCUUUGCUUUGAAAAUCAAAAAUGAAAAAUCUCCCCCUCUCACUUUCUGCUACUUGUUAUUUAUAUUGAAGAAAAUAAAUUAGGAUUGUUUGAAUAUAAAAAUAUCUUUUGUUUUGGUUCAAUUUAAUUUUUGAUGAAGUUCCUGCUUAAUUGCUCAUCCUAUGUUUCUCUGCUAUAACAUUUUUGCUCUUGACUUUUUGAAAUAUGUUUUGCUUAGAAAAAUAUGUUAACUGCACUAUUCUGCAACUACUGCAGCAACAAGACAAGAAUCUAUCCAAGCAAAGAGAGCAUAGUUCUGGUUAUGUAGAGGGAAAAAAAGACAAACUAGCUCUUAGUCAUUGUGUUACUAAUACACUUGAAGAGCCUCUAUAAUUUUGUAAUGGUUACUAUAAAAAAAAUGCAAAUUAUGUGUAAUAGAGGCUUAGUGGUGUAAUAUAAAUCCCUAUUUUUUUUAAAGUUUUUUUUAUGAUGUAAAAAGAAAAUAAUCUAAAGUGUAAAUAAAAUUUUAUUUUAUUUUUAAAAUAAAAAUAAUAACAUAAUAAUUAAAAAAAAACAUAAUUAUAAUAUGACAAGAAACUUCUUUUUUUUAAAUGAAAGAAACAAAUUUAAAUUCUAUAUUUUUUUAGAAAUUUACUUCAAUUUAAAAAUAUAAAAUAAAUUUGAUUAUUAUUAUGACCUAUUUUUAAAAACACACAUAAAAAUCUUUAAUAAGAUAUAAUAAACAAGAAAUUAACAAAACAAAAAAAACCAUUUCAAACUUAAUUUAUUNUUUUUAGAAAUUUACUUCAAUUUAAAAAUAUAAAAUAAAUUUGAUUAUUAUUAUGACCUAUUUUUAAAAACACACAUAAAAAUCUUUAAUAAGAUAUAAUAAACAAGAAAUUAACAAAACAAAAAAAACCAUUUCAAACUUAAUUUAUUUUUGAGAAGGAAUGUAAAAACAAAAGUCCAAAACUAAACCUUUAAUACAAAAUGCAAAUUAAAUUUCUAAUCAUCCAUAUGCAAUGUAAGACAAAUGAUUAUGUAGUAUAUGUACGGAUGAAUGAAAUAGCGAUUUAGUUCAAAUUGAUUAAAAUCAAC